GCUGGGCGUGAUGGUGCACGUCUGUAAUCCCAGCUACUUGGGAGGCUGAGGCAGGAAGAUCGCAAGUUCAAGGCCAAGCCUGGACAACUUAGCAAGACCCUGUCUCAG
rnacentral:sRNA from 1 species